CCUACGGGAGGCAGCAGUGGGGAAUUUUGGACAAUGGGCGAAAGCCUGAUCCAGCAAUGCCGCGUGAGUGAAGAAGGCCUUCGGGUUGUAAAGCUCUUUUGUCAGGGAAGAAACGGUGAGAGCUAAUAUCUCUUGCUAAUGACGGUACCUGAAGAAUAAGCACCGGCUAACUACGUGCCAGCAGCCGCGGUAAUACGUAGGGUGCAAGCGUUAAUCGGAAUUACUGGGCGUAAAGCGUGCGCAGGCGGUUUUGUAAGUCUGAUGUGAAAUCCCCGGGCUCAACCUGGGAAUUGCAUUGGAGACUGCAAGGCUGGAAUCUGGCAGAGGGGGGUAGAAUUCCACGUGUAGCAGUGAAAUGCGUAGAUAUGUGGAGGAACACCGAUGGCGAAGGCAGCCCCCUGGGUCAAGAUUGACGCUCAUGCACGAAAGCGUGGGGAGCAAACAGGAUUAGAUACCCUGGUAGUCCACGCCCUAAACGAUGUCUACUAGUUGUCGGGUCUUAAUUGACUUGGUAACGCAGCUAACGCGUGAAGUAGACCGCCUGGGGAGUACGGUCGCAAGAUUAAAACUCAAAGGAAUUGACGG
rnacentral:rRNA from 1 species